rnacentral:lncRNA from 1 species
GACAAGCGGGUUGCUAACUCGUUUGAGUCCUAUCAAUAAUUAUACCUUCCUGGUUGAUAAUCCCUUUCUGCCCCUCUUAAAGAAAACACACAUGAAUCUGAAUCAUAUUAACAUAAACUACUUUACUAUCAUGGGACGCGGGUGCCACUGUGGUCUAAACCACAGAGCCUAGGGCUUAUCGAUCAGAAGGUCGGCAGUUCAAAUCCCCAUGACGGGGUGAGCGCCCGUUGUUCGGUCCCAGCUCCUGCCUACCUAGCAGUUCGAAAGCACAUCAAAGUGGAAGUAGAUAAAUAGGUACCGGUCUGGCGGGAAGGGAAACGGCAUUUCCGUGUGCUGCUCUGGUUUCUCCAGAAGCGGCUUAGUCAUGCUGGCCACAUGACCCAGAAGCUGUAUGCCGGCUCCCUCGGCCAGUAAAGCGAGAUGAGCGCCGCAACCCCAGAGUCAUCCGCGACUGAACCUAAUGGUCAGGGGUCCCUUUACCUUUACUAUCAGAUUCAUUCAGGUUUACAUAGUUGUUCCUGAAGGCAGGCUUAGGCUUAGGUUACAUAACAGAUAACUAUAUACUAGGUAGUAGUGAAUCAUGAGAAGACUGCAUCUGAGCAGUUACCAGUUAACAUUCCUUGCAGCAACUGACCAACCAACCGACAAAACUGCCUGCCACAUAGAGGCAGUUAGUCCUCUCAGAAUGUUGGACUUGACUGACAGCUUUAUAUCCCACAAAGACCACCCCCAAAAACAUCAUACAUACAUCACAGAAGGGGGCGGUCUACAGCAGAAAUACAUCACAGGAGGUGGUCUACAGCAGAAAUCCUGUCUGCCAGGAUACCUGACAUUAGUCACUGAUUGCUUUACCUGGGCAGCCCGGCCAUUCUUUAGCAGCUUGACCCAAUCUAAACAGAGUCACAACGAAAAGACCGUCUGCAGUUUUCAGAUCUGAGAGAGACAGAAGUGCUUUUCCAAGUUGUCAUAUGUCAAACGUUCUACGGUGUGACCAUUAAUUGCUUGGGGUUGCCCAGGUGACAAGCCCAGGAUACAGCAGUAAUAGUCAAUAGAAAACAAAAAUUGAUAUCAGUGAACAUUCAUUCCACAGGUCAUGCUUCUGGGCUUACAAUAAGAGCGUAAGGUGAGCCUGCUGGCAAAACUAACUGCGGUAAUAAGAUAUCAAACACACCAGAAAUUAAGGGCACAAUGGUUACGGUUUGAGGAAUAUAUGAACAAACACUGCUUUAAAGAUAACAUGCUGAUAUGUUUAGACUAAGCUUGUAAGGUGACUUGAUGUUAUACCAUAAUAGUACCAUUAAAGAAGUAAUUACAGCGAUAAAUGAUAUGCAAUGUAAAUAAGAACUUAAAUGACUCAAAGAUGAUGAGUGCUGGUGGAGGGGAGUCAAAUGGGUGUGGUACUUCAACCUUUUUUCUUUCUUACCCUUUCCCUUUACUCUCUUUGGUAUUUGGGGUUAAGUGUGUGUACCUUAUUGUUUGUUUGUUUGUAAAUAUGCUUAAAUAAAACAUUAAACCAUAAAAAAGAUGACCCUGCUGGAUCAGGUCAGUGUCCCGUCUGGUCCAGUAUCCUGUUGCAUGGCGAGUUCCUGCCUCCCACCAGUAGGAAUAAAGACAUGUGACACAAUUAUAUUAGGUUAAUGGGCUAAAAUUGGCCACAACUUUAUUGGUUACAGGUAAAGAGCGGUAUUGGCUUAGGCAUUGGUCCUAUCCGACUAUCCGGCUUCAGCCUGUUUGCUUGAAGACCGAACACCAGCAGGGGGAACCUGAAAGGCAAAACCACGACAAAGCAGAUAAAUCCAACAGGGAAAGCAGCGACAAAAGCAGGGAAUUCAAGCAGCGAUAAACGCAAGAGGCAAAACCAAAGUAGCUGAGCGGCCAGAGAGGGAGAUCCCGGGCCGCGCUUGCCUUAAAUAAGGCAAGCCACACCCCCUGAGCCAGCCGAUUAGUUGGCCAGGGGAUGAUGAAGCCUGAGGAUUCCCCUGAUCGCUCGGGGGCUGGGGGUGUGAAGCCCGCAACACCACCUCCUCCCGAGGUCAGAAGUGGCUUUCUCACGGUGGCCAACCAGACACUCUAAUGGGAAGCCCACAAGGGCACUAUCCUCUCCUGUGGCUUCUAACAACUGGAAUUCGAAAGCAUCAAGAAGAUCAGAAGAGCCUGAUGGAUCAAGCCAAUGGUCCACCUAGUCAAGGAUCCUAUUCUCACUGUGGUCAACCUGCAAGCAGGAUUCAAGCACAAGAGCUCUCUCCCCUUCCUGCAGUUUCCAGAAUCUGGUAUUCAGAAGCAUUGCUGCCUCUGGCCGUGGGGCCAGAGCAUAGCCAUCAUAGCUAGUAGCCAUCAAUAACAAUCUUCUCCAUGAAUUUGUCUAAUCCUCUUUUAAAGACAUUCAGGUUGGGCAUGCAUAUUUGUGGUAUGAUAAGGUCAAAGCACAUAAAGCAUUUAAAAAUCAUAUUGUCAGGAAAGCAUUGUUUAAUGUCUGGAUAAGAUAUAAGGAUCUAUUGGAAAAUAAAACCCCAAGGUGGCUGUCACCGAUGGAAGCGAAAGCACAGAAAAAGCUCAAUAUGGAGGCCAAAUUCACGAAAAAGUGGGAAAUUCUGGAACAAGAGG